CCUACGGGAGGCAGCAGUUUGUAAUAUUUCUCAAUUUUCUACAUCCUUCCUCAGCGACGCCGCGUGAGGGAUGAAGGUCUUCGGAUCGUAAACCUCUGUCAGCAGGGAAGAACGGUCACUGUGCUAAUCAGCAGUGAAUUGACGGUACCUGCAAAGGAAGCACCGGCUAACUCCGUGCCAGCAGCCGCGGUAAUACGGAGGGUGCGAGCGUUAAUCGGAAUUACUGGGCGUAAAGCGCUCGUAGGCGGUAUGUCAAGUCAAGGGUGAAAUCCCCGCGCUCAACGUGGGAACUGCCUUUGAAACUGGCAAACUGGAGUGUGUGAGAGGAUAGUGGAAUUCCAGGUGUAGGAGUGAAAUCCGUAGAUAUCUGGAGGAACAUCAGUGGCGAAGGCGACUAUCUGGCACAUAACUGACGCUGAGGAGCGAAAGCGUGGGUAGCAAACAGGAUUAGAUACCCUAGUAGUC
rnacentral:rRNA from 1 species